rnacentral:rRNA from 1 species
CUUAGCGACCAUAGCAUAACGGUACCACCUGAUCCCUUGCCGAACUCAGUAGUGAAAGUUAUAGCGCCGAUGGUAGUGUGGGGUCUCCCCAUGUGAGAGUAGGACAUUGCUAAGU